rnacentral:rRNA from 3 species
UCUGACGGCCAUAGCGGUGGGGUUCACCCGUUCCCAUUCCGAACACGGAAGUUAAGUCCACCAGCGUUCCCGGCGGUACUGUGGUGCGAGAGCCCACGGAAAUCCGGGAUCGCCGUCAACC